AAACUACAAUGAGAUAUCAUCUCACACCAGUCAGAAUGGCCAUCAUCAAAAAAUCUACAAACAGUAAAUGCUGGAGAGGGUGUGGAGAAAAGGGAACCCUCUUGCUCUGUUGGUGGGAAUGUAAAUUGAUACAGCCACUAUGGAGAACAGUAUGGAGGUUCCUUAAAAAACUAAAAACAGAACUACCAUAUGACCCAGCAAUCCCACUACUGGGCAUACACCCUGAGAAAACCAUAAUUCAAAAGGACACAUGUACCCCAAUGUUCACUGCAGCACUAUUUACAACAGCCAGGACACAAAAACAACCUAAAUGUCCAAAGACAGAUGAAUGGGUAAAGAAGAUGUGGUACAUGUAUACAAUGGAAUAUUAUUCAGCCAUAAAAAGGAACGAAAUUGGUCAUUUGUAGAGAUGUGGAUGGAUCUAGAGACUGUCAUACAGAGUGAAGCCAGAAAGAGAAAAACAAAUAUCGUAUAUUAACGCAUAUAUGUGGAAUCUAGAAAAAUGGUACAGAUGAACCUAUUUGUAGGGCAGCAAUAGAGUCAUAGGUACAGAGAACGGACAUGUGAACACAGAGGGGGAACAGGAGGGUUGGAUGAACUGGGAGAUUAGGUUUGACAUAAAUACACUACCAGGUGUUAAACAGAUAGCUAGUGGGAACCUGCUGUAUAGCACAGGGAGCUCAGCUUGGUGCUUUGUGAUGACCUAGGUGGAUGGGAUAGGGGGUGGGGAGGGGGAGGUCCAAGAGGGAAGAGAUAUAUGUAUACAUAUAGCUGACUCACUUCACUGUAUAGCAGAAACUAACAGAAUAUUGUAAAGCAAUUAUACUCCAAUUAAAAAACAAAAAGAAUCACUAAUUAUUAGAGAAAUGCAAAUCAAAACUACAAUGAGGUUAUCACCUCACACCAUUUAGAAUGGGCAUCAUCAGAAAAUCUACGAACACCAAAUGCUUAAGAGGGUGUGGAGAAAAGGGAACCCUCUUGCACUGUUGGUGGGAAUGUAAAUUGAUACAGCCACUGCGGAGAAGAGUAUGGAGGUUCCUUAAAAAACUAAAAAUAGAACUACUAUAUGACCCAGCAAUCCCACUACUGGGCAUAUACCCAGAGAAAACCGUAAUUCAAAAAGACACAUGCACCCCAAUGUUCACUGCAGCACUAUUUACAAUAGCCAGGUCAUGGAAGCAACUUAAAUGCCCAUCAACAGACGAAUUAAAGAAAAUGUGGUACAUAUAUACAAUGGAAUAUUACUCGGCCAUAAAAAGGAAUGAAACUGGGUUAUUUGUAGAGAUGUGGAUGGCUCUAGAGACAGUCAUACAGGGUGAAGUCAGUCAGAAAGAGAAAAACAAAUAUAGUAUAUUAACGCAUAUAUGUGGAACCUAGAAAAAUGGUACAGAUGAACUGGUUUGCAGGGCAGAAAUUGAGACACAGAUGUAGACAACAAACGUAUGAAUACCAAGGGGGGAAAGUGGUAGAGGGCGGGUGGUGGUGGGAUGAAUUGGGAGAUUGGGAUUGACAUGUAUACACUAAUAUGUAUAAAAUAGAUAAUAAGAACCUGCUGUAUAAGAAAAUAAAUAAA